AUUAAUGUUGUAUGACCAAUGGUAAUAUAUCUUUUAUUUUUCUAUUGGUUGAAUUGUGGUUAGGUAAAUAAUUAAUGAUGUUUUUGUUUAGAAAAUAUAAGAAAUUAAUGGUUUUCUUAAUCUACGUGCAUAACUGCAAAACGACUUAUAUAAAAAAACGGAGGGAGUAUUAUCAAAACCUCGAUUACCAAUGAAACUAUAAAUUUUUCAAUAUUUUUUUUUCCUUCUUGACUAUAAAUUCUUCAAUAGUUUUUUUUCUUCUUCUUCUUGUUUUUUUCUAACUAAGCCGUGAUUAACGCCUUCCAAUAUCAAUGGAUGUAUUGUAUACUUUUACUGAGAAUAAAUUUUUUUUAAACGAUACUCUUAAUUACUCUAAUAUCCGCUAAUUCAGCAGUGAACUAUAACAACUGGUUUUCCGUGUACGG
rnacentral:lncRNA from 1 species